AGCCCCUGUCUCCGCACCCUCACGAAGGCGCCUAGAGUUGCGGCUAUUAUGAAGGAAAACAAACAAAAUAAACAUAGCCGGCAUAAGCAAGCAUAAAUAUGAACGAUGAAAGGAGGCGACGUCCCCUCCACUCAGCGGCUCUCUCUCAGCAGAUUCCCCCACCCUCGACACACUCACCGCCAAAAGCGGCAGAGCACAUAUAUUUUGGGGCUUUGUUCGGAAUCAAAGAACGAAACAAAAUCAGUCUAGUCGCAGAACCAGAAUCGAACGGUUCUGUUUUUUUCUUUUGGAACCAAAUCUAAAAAGGAAAACUCUGGAGCAAUGUUGCAGGACGCGACAGGUGUCGAAGUGGAAAUAGAGCCGGGCCUUGGGUCGGACAAAUAGAUGCACAGCAUCUUUUAUGUUCAUAAUUAUAAUAAUCCCCUUCCCAAGAAUGGACGAUGAAACAUCAAUGCGGAAACAUACUAAGUACAUAAAAUACAUAACAAAUUGGUGACAUAAUUUAGUUAAACCCUAUACCAUAACAGAUAACAUAUAUUAAUAAUAAUGGUUCAGAAUUGUAUAAUUGCAUAUAUAGUUAAAUAUGCGACACUCCAGUUUAAGUUUUAAAAAAGAUUUAUUUAUUUACUUAAACUUAGCGCACAAUUGUUAGUUAGUUUCUCCGAUGAUGACUAAUGUCCGAUGUCUUAAACGGAAUUAACUUUGUUGAAUUCUCCGACGGUGUCGGGAUUGACGUUUGUCUUGAACAGAUUAGAUGUAGACUAUUUAUAUUACGAUGCUCGGAUUGGGAUUCGGAGGCGUUGGCUUCCGCUUCUACUUAGGUGAUAGAGUACGUGACUCGAUCGGUAUGUGGAAAAGGCGGCUUUUGAUGAAAGGCUUCCGCUGCGUAGGAUCGGUGUUGCAUUACUUGGGGGUGGCUGAGAAUAGGGCCUCUGAUUGGUGAGCUAGGAUGGCUUGGUUCUUGAGAAUCGAUUAGUAAUUGAUCUCUGGAGGGUGGCGUGAUUCGGCAUCUAUUGUUUUAUGUUCGACUCCUAGCUUUGGGUGUUUGUUUACAUUGCCGGCUAUCGGCUACAAGUGGUCCACUUCGAGCGUGGUAUUGUUUAUGCGAUUCGAGGCUGAGGGUGUUGGAUUGUUUAUAUUAUGUGGGUGCAGGGUAACAGACAUAGAUAAGGGUGGACUAUAGAUAUGUCCCUAUAUGUAGUUAAAUAUCCGCAACACGAUUUUAAGUUUUUAAAAAAGAUUUUAUUUCACAACUUAAGAUCUUUAUGUCACAAGAUUUAUAAUGAAUUUCCCGACUUAACUUUAUGUAUGCUUGUCUCAAACGGAACUGAACUCUAUUGUUGGCUAGUUUCUGGACGUGCCUGGACCCAUAUUUGGGGAUGCGUUGGCUUUGAUGAAAGGCGUUUGCUGCUGGCGAUCGGUGUUGCAUUGCAUGAGGGAGCUAGGAAUGUGAUACUCCUUGGUUUUAUGCCUAGCUCUGAUUGGUUCUCAUGAGUGGCAUGAUUCUAGAAAAUCGAAUUCUUGAGGGUGGCGUGAUUCUGGCGUUGAUGAAUCAAUGGGGACCAUUGUUUAGAUUAGGGGCUCUAGCUUGGAGUGUGGGAAGAAUCAGUUAUUGAUUCUUGGGCGGUGUCCUGUUACUUAUGGUUACGAUGGGGUGUAUAGGACGUAAACAUGAUGUGUAUGUGAAGUGGAGAGUUAUGGAUAUGUCACUCCCCCAACGUUUGUUAUUAGCCUGUCCCUAGGCGAUUACCCUCGGGCAUAGUGACGGGGUGUCGAGUAUGACAGUUGAGGUCGGGUCUUCUUCCUCUUCUAUUGUCGGGUUUAUGCAUUUUACAGUGAAUGUCUUAGGACGUUUCUUAAAUUUAAUGGUUACAUGCAUAAUUAUAAUUAUUAUUGUUAUAAUGAAUGCAAAUAUAAUUAUUGUUUGCAAUACAUUA